UCUCGGGCUGGUGAGUGCUGCUCAGCACCGAGCCUCUGUGCGGGAAUCUCUCCGCUUUGCCCUCCGCACCCCUGUGGCUGCGCUCUCCUCCGUGACUGUGAAGCUUCCCCCGCCAUCCACCCUCCGGUCCCUGCCAGUGAAGGGGCUUCUAGUGUGUGGAAACGUUUCCUCCUUCACAGCUCCCUCCCGGAGGUGCAGGCAACAUGACAGAAUGAAAGUAUCAACUUUGGAGUUGAACAAAUGGAAUUUCAUGUUUUAGUUUUCAACUGCUUACAAGCUUCAGUUUCCUGUUCCUGAGUUCCCUCCACAGGAAGAAAAACUUUGGAAGCUUUUACAGAAUGUAAUCAAGAUUUAUGAUGAAUUUUUCUGGUGAAGAUAUUUUAGUGAAAUUUUUUCAAGUGCAAAGGCAUUUGAAAGCUGCUACAAUCAAUCCUGAUGAAAUAAGGCCUUCAAUAAUAUUGCAAAUUCUGAAAUUCAGUGUAAAAUGAGGUUUUCAUUAACUUCUACCCAACUUAUUUUUAAACACCUUUCUAACCUAUUUGCAUAUUUGGUGCUUCAUAAAUUAAUUAAAUAAACAUUAAUAAAAAAGUUUUUUCAAUCAGCUAUGAGUGAAGAUAGAUUGACAAAAAUCUGGCUAUAUUGCCUUUUGAACAUGAAUAUGUAAACAAAAUCCAUAUUCAUGAAGUCAUUGAUAAUCACAAUAUUGUUAUUAUUUAUUACUGUGACAGCUCAGUAUGUAGGUAUAAGAUUUUUUUCCUACUUUGUCAAAAAUACAUUAAUCUAAUUAAAAAGUAUUCAUCUAAUCCUUUUUUACUAUAAUAUUUGGUUUUACUUA